rfam:Gossypium hirsutum cultivar TM-1 chromosome 9, whole genome shotgun sequence
GUUGAGGAUGACAUCCGAUAAAAUUGGAACGAUACAAAGAAGAUUAGCAUGGCCCCUGCGCAAGGUUGACACAAUUAAAUGUCUGCUUUAGUGGUUAAUG